UAACAUAAUUGUUGUAUAUACCAGUUCUCGAAUUUUAAGGAGCUAAGAAAAUAUUAAUAUUAAUGUAACACAAUUAUUUAUAAUAUUUUUUUUGUAAUUAUAUGUUAGUCAUCUUUUAAUAUAUCUAGUUUUAGGAGAAAUUAAUUUAAUUAAGCAUUUAAUUUUUAUUUUUCUAUUUUAGGAAAUUUAAUUAAUUAAAUUGUAAUAUUAUGAGGGAUAAGCUUCGUAUUAUAUUUUUAUAAUAUUUAAUUUUUAUUUAAUCGUAGGAUUAGAAGUGUUUAUCGUUUAAAGUGUUUUAUAACUUAUUUAUUUUUUAUUUUAUUUAGUUAGUAUUUAAUUUUUUUAUCUUAAUAUUUAAUUUUUUUAUUAAAUUAAAGAUAUAAUGAUAAAAUAAGUAUAAUUAAAUUUAAAUUAUAUUUAUAUUGAUAAUUAAUUUAAAGGAACUCGGCAAAUAACUUUUUGCCUGUUUAAUAAAAACAUCGCCUUUUGGGAUUAUUUAAGGUCCGACCUGCCCAAUGAUUAAUUAAAUGGCCGCGGUAUUUUGACCGUGCAAAGGUAGCAUAAUAAUUAGUUUAUUAAUUGAAAGCUUGUAUGAAUGGUUAGACAAGAAAGUGACUGUCUCUAUUUUAUUAAUUAUAAUUUUACUUUUAAGUAAAAAGGCUUAAAUACUUUUAAGGGACGAGAAGACCCUAUAGAAUUUUAUAUUCAAUUUUAAUUAGAUUGUAAAGAUAUUUAAUGUCUUUUUAAUUUUGCUUAUUUUGUUGGGGUGACAUAAAAAUUUAAAUAACUUUUUAUUUUUUAUUCAUUUAUUUAUGAUUAAAUGAUCCUUUAAUAGAGAUUAUAAGAAUAAAUUACCUUAGGGAUAACAGCGUUAUUAAAUUAGAGAGUUCUUAUCGAUAAUUUGGAUUGCGACCUCGAUGUUGGAUUAAAAUUUACUUUUGGUGCAGAAACUAAUUAGUUAAGUCUGUUCGACUUUUAAAAUUUU
rnacentral:rRNA from 1 species